rnacentral:rRNA from 1 species
UACGUAGGGUGCGAGCGUUAAUCGGAAUUACUGGGCGUAAAGCGUGCGCAGGCGGUGAUGUAAGACCGAUGUGAAAUCCCCGGGCUUAACCUGGGAACUGCAUUGGUGACUGCAUUGCUGGAGUGCGGCAGAGGGGGAUGGAAUUCCGCGUGUAGCAGUGAAAUGCGUAGAUAUGCGGAGGAACACCGAUGGCGAAGGCAAUCCCCUGGGCCUGCACUGACGCUCAUGCACGAAAGCGUGGGGAGCAAACAGG